rnacentral:misc_RNA from 1 species
AACAAGGCGUACCUGCGGACCUGCGGAAGGAUCAUUACUGAGUCACGUGCUCAAACAACCCUUCUGUGGACCUGAAAUAAAACCGUUGCCUCGGCGGGCGGCCCCCCCCAAACCAACCCCACGUGGUGGGUUAGGGGAGACCAGACAGUCCGGUACGCUUAAGGCGUCCGGCGCCAGCCGCUGGCCCCAAACAAUUAAACUCUAGUAAUCUUUACCUUCUGAGUUUCAAUAUUUAAAAAU